rnacentral:rRNA from 1 species
CAGAGGGUGCGAGCGUUGUUCGGAAUUACUGGGCGUAAAGCGCGCGCAGGCGGCCCUUUAAGUCCGUCGGUCAAAUGCCGGGGCUCAACCCCGAGCGUGCCGAGGAUACUGGAGGGCUGGAGACACGUAGAGGCAAGCGGAAUUCCGGGUGUAGCGGUGGAAUGCGUAGAGAUCCGGAAGAACACCGGAGGCGAAGGCGGCUUGCUGGGCGUGAUCUGACGCUGAGGCGCGAAAGCGUGGGGAGCGAACAGGAUUAGAUACCCUGGUAGUCCACGCCGUAAACGAUGGGCACUAGACGCUGGGGGGAUCGACCCUCUCGGUGUCGCAGCUAACGCGAUAAGUGCCCCGCCUGGGGAGUACGGCCGCAAGGCUG